GUUACCAAUGAUGUGAGUAUGGUAUGAGCCAAGGAUUAUGAUUAAUCCAACUUUGUACACCUGUGGUACAAA
ensembl:snoRNA